UACGUAGGGGGCAAGCGUUGUCCGGAUUUAUUGGGCGUAAAGAGCGUGUAGGCGGCCAGGUAGGUCGGUUGUGAAAACUGGAGGCUCAACCUCCAGACGUCGACCGAAACCACCUGGCUAGAGUCCGGAAGAGGAGAGUGGAAUUCCUGGUGUAGCGGUGAAAUGCGCAGAUAUCAGGAAGAACACCCGUGGCGAAAGCGGCUCUCUGGGACGGUACUGACGCUGAGACGCGAAAGCGUGGGGAGCGAACAGG
rnacentral:rRNA from 1 species